CACGUAGGAGGCGAGCGUUGUCCGGAAUCAUUGGGCGUAAAGAGCGCGCAGGCGGCCCGGCAAGUCGGGUGUGAAAUCCCGGGGCUCAACCCCGGGACUGCAUUCGAUACUGUCGGGCUAGAGGUAGGUAGGGGAGAUCGGAAUUCCUGGUGUAGCGGUGAAAUGCGCAGAUAUCAGGAGGAACACCGGUGGCGAAGGCGGAUCUCUGGGCCUUACCUGACGCUCAGGCGCGAAAGCUAGGGGAGCGAACAGG
rnacentral:rRNA from 1 species